GACGGAGGGUGCAAGCGUUGUUCGGAAUCACUGGGCGUAAAGCGCGUGUAGGCGGUCCGAAAAGUCGAGUGUGAAAUCCCGAGGCUCAACCUCGGAAGUGCAUUCGAAACUCUCGGGCUUGAGUACUGGAGAGGGGAGCGGAAUUCCUGGUGUAGAGGUGAAAUUCGUAGAUAUCAGGAGGAACACCGGUGGCGAAGGCGGCUUCCUGGACAGAUACUGACGCUGAGACGCGAAAGCGUGGGGAGCAAACAGG
rnacentral:rRNA from 1 species